GCGCUGGUUGUGUAAGGCGUGCAUCGCUGCCCGGGAAGCAGAAGGUGCGUGUUCGAGUCCCGCCUGGCGCA
rnacentral:tRNA from 1 species